rnacentral:rRNA from 1 species
AGUGAACGCUGGCGGUAGGCCUAACACAUGCAAGUCGAACGGCAGCACAGUAAGAGCUUGCUCUUACGGGUGGCGAGUGGCGGACGGGUGAGGAAUACAUCGGAAUCUACUUUUUCGUGGGGGAUAACGUAGGGAAACUUACGCUAAUACCGCAUACGACCUACGGGUGAAAGCAGGGGAUCUUCGGACCUUGCGCGAUUGAAUGAGCCGAUGUCGGAUUAGCUAGUUGGCGGGGUAAAGGCCCACCAAGGCGACGAUCCGUAGCUGGUCUGAGAGGAUGAUCAGCCACACUGGAACUGAGACACGGUCCAGACUCCUACGGGAGGCAGCAGUGGGGAAUAUUGGACAAUGGGCGCAAGCCUGAUCCAGCCAUACCGCGUGGGUGAAGAGAGCCUUCGGGUUGUAAAGCCCUUUUGUUGGGAAAGAAAAGCAGCAGGUUAAUACCCCGCUGUUCUGACGGUACCCAAAGAAUAAGCACCGGCUAACUUCGUG